AAUAUCUUAAUUUGUGUUCCGAAGAUUAAUGGAGGUCUUACGGGUGUGGAACGGCAUGAGGGAUCCAGUGUGGCAGGAAGUCAGGCACUUUACUCAAAGUGACGCCUUCUAGGAGUUUCCAAGGCAGGAGCAGAAAUCCCAGGAGUUGAGAAAGUGAAAAGACAAGGUCAAAUGAGGUGGGAGCGGCAGACAAAUGAAAACAGCAUGGUCUGUACAGACCCACCGAGGGAGGAAGGCUGAGGAAAGAAGAGAGAGAGGGAGAAAAUGAGGCCAGGUUUUGCCGCUGUCAUUUGUAAUCCGAAUGCGCUUGCAUUCCACACAGCGCUAGCUAGUGUGUCAAACUCGUCCAUGACCUGGGUUUCACCUUUCCGCUCUGCCUCUCCGCCCCGCCUUCACCUCCCAAUGAACUUCUACUCGGUCUCUCUUUGACCUCGGCGUGACCCCCGACAGUGUUAUCGGCCCCUCUCUGAACAAACAGAGGGCCACGCUAGAGAGGAGCUGGGGCAUGGGGGUGGGCUGGCACUGGAUUAUCACUUCCUCUCAUUCUUCUAAAAGAAAGAAUGAUGGAGAGAAAGGGAGCGAAAAAAGAAAACAUGACGUUGCACAUUGAUGUGUUGCUCUCGUUUCCCUCGCAGCCUCAGCGUCACCCCUCGUUCACACUAUCUCUCUGGACCGUUUGGAUAAGGGCUUAUAACAGUUAUUCCGACUGUCGUACUUGUUUGUUUGGAACGCAGCAGGAAUAGCUAUUCUCGUUAAUAGCCUGGGGGUGUUGGGAAUUGACUGCCGUGUUAUUCUUUUCUCCCCUUAGACUUGUUGCUCUUUCUGGCAGUGUUCUGGAAAAACAAGGUUUGAUUUGCCACUUUACUCGUGCAAUAAAUCUAAAAAUGCUCUGGUGGGGAGUUUGUUAUGUAAUGAUCAUCACCUAUGCCCUAGUAACCUAGUAGCCACCUACAAACGGCUUGUGAAUAUGAUUUAAUGAAUGAGCUGCUAAGUAAAAGAAGGAAAACUAAGAUGAAAGGAUAACGUUCUUAGUUUUGUGUUCUCUAGUCACUAACGCUGUUGUGUUUUUAUUCUCUUUGUGCCAUCACUGCCACCAUCAAUUCGUCCAUGCCUUUUCUCGUUAGUUCUCCUCUCACCUCUGGCUGCCCUCUGGAUCUCGGAGUUGUUUAGUGCAUUCUGGAACAUGGGGCCGUCAGCCCCAGAGGCUCAUGCAGGCCAAAGUCAUUGAGCUUGUGCCUGAAUAAUGAUAACAUUGAUAAUAACCAGCACAGAAAAGAGAGAUCAGCCUAGUAAAGAAAGAAAUAACAAUAACCCCACUUUGCUAAAACAAACUAGUAGGGAGGCAGAGAGAAAAAGAAGCCAAAGUAUCUACAGUAAAAUAUACAGAUGGACUGACCUUUAUUCAAAAAGGCCUAUGCGGUUAUCUGGCUCCGGGUUGCAUGUUAAUAAAAAUGUCUUCUAAACAUGGGAUGAGUCACAAUGGGCUGGCAUGAGAGUUGUAAUUUGAACUGCAGCAAAUAGGGCUCAAGUGCACGGUCAUAAAUGUGAACGGCGAGCAAAUCCGAUACAGAUACAGCAGUGGUAAACCUCUGCUGGGAGCAAAUAUGAACAUGAGAAAUCCAGAACACCUUUAAAGGGAUAGUUCACCCAAAAAUUAAAAUUGUUCAAAUUCCUCAAGUUGUUCCAAACUCGUAUAAAUUUCUUUGUUCUGCUGUACACAAAGGAAGAUAUUUGGAAAAAUGUUUGUAACCAAGCAGAUCUCGUCCCCCAGUGACUACCAUAGAAGGAAAAACAA